GGCUGGUCCAGAGGUAAUGAGUUAUGUCUCGAUUGAUGGUUCACAGUUACAGAUUGAACUCCUUGUUCUAUUCUUUCCCCCCUUCUCAUUACUGCACUUGACUAGUCUAAA
ensembl:misc_RNA Y_RNA Y RNA